UGUUGGUGUAGUUCAAUAGUUUCCGUGUGCAGUCGGAUCAGAUAUUGGGCCAACCGGUAUCACGAUAUAUCCUGAACCGGCCAAAGGUGAAAUACACACGAUCACGCCUAUGAAUUGAAAAUGGGAAGAUCCCGUGAAUCGAGCCAAGGACAAUGAAUUUUAGACAGGGGCUUUUGACUUUUCGUUUCAUUUCCGAGUAAACUGACAAAGGGCGUUCAACAAAGUGCUUCCUGAUGAAAGACACAACUGAGGACAUCAGUUCUCCUUGAAUACGAUCAUUGGGUCGAAGAUCUGGUUUAGAUCAACCGCAUCAAACCUUUAUAAACCUAAAUCUGCUUAAGGGAGAAAUAUUUUGCCACGUAACCCCGGAACCAGGUUUCUUCAAGGGUGCAGUUAUACGAAGAUCGCACUGUUUAAAAUAAGAGCCAGCUGGCCUUCGGAUCCCAGAAGGGAGCAGGUGAUGCUAUACCAUGCCACGUGUCUGUGUACGAGACCCCCUUUGUUUGCUUUUAGCGGUAGAAUAUGUUAGACUCAUACGUGUUCUGCCUACCGCAGCGACGGCAACACCAUUAAGGAAGCCCCACACCGUCGAUUUCUACCUGCAUCACACUAAAAAAACAAGAUUUUGAUGACCCUAAUAAUGUACAAACAUAAAAGGAAGAAAGGACGAACGUUCGGGCAAUUCGAUUGUUACUGCAGCACCCAAAUUGAUAACACAAAUAUGAGACGAGUAUACUAUAAGCAAUUGAUUGGCCUAUUUUACCCACAUUUUAAACAUCGUCCAAUUUAGAGUCGAUAUAGAUUUUUUGUAUGUAACAAGGAUAUAAGCAGAGUACUGCAAGACUUCCAUUUUACAAAUUUACCUUCUCUCAUCCUUUAUAACGAAUGAUCAAAUUAUGCGAUUUCAUUUAGAAAACUACAUAAUUAAGCUAUGGGUGAAAGAGCUCAGUGUCAAUAAAGAAUAUAAAAUGCUUCCUAUUUUGGCUUGCCCUUAAAUCUACGUUGAUAGAAUUUUUGAACAUUCUCUUUCAAGGAUUUUUUUUAAUAAUCGGUUCUUUACAAGGAAGAGGAUUUGUACACACAUCGACAAGUUUAACUAGAGUAACCGACAAAUCGUAAAGAACUAAAGUUCACCAGAUGUUUUGGACACUAAGUUCUAAGUAUUCUAAGAUGGCUACAUACAGUGGUAUUUGUAGCUCCAACUUUGGCUGAUAAUACGCGAAUGAUAGCAAUCUAAUUCGGGCUUACACUGUAGAAUAAUUCAGCACUAUCACCAUCCUAUAGAAUCAAACAAAUCCUAUAGCAGAUACUCCCUAACACUUGCAAUUUAAGGACUGCUACAGCUAUCAAUAGGGAGAUUUUGCAUAACGGUAACUAUAAAUUGAUUGAAAUGAGCACACUCAGAUUUAACGAAAUGAUAUCUGGAAUAGCAUUUAUAACAUCCGUGAACGGUGCAUUUGUUCACAUGCUUGUAAGACACAACUAUAACCUGAACUACAACAAACUCCCCUGGAAACUUAGACAAAAUCCGCUACAAAAUCUUCAAAUAGCGUCAAUGCUGUUGACUACGCAUAACGGUGAUGAUGAAAUAGUGGAAACGUUAUGCAGUUUCUCUAUUGUUUGUCAAAAUUGGAUUAUUCUCAAUCUCACCUGCAGAGGUCACAACAACCCACAAUACAAUCUUGAAAAUACGCUGCGCUACAGUUUGUACUCGACUCGGCGUUCCAUUAGAACCUCAAAAUAUCUACUAUUACCAUCAUAAUAAAAGAGGCCUAUGAGAAACUCCCAUAGCAACGAUAACCACCGCAACACCCUCAUGAGGCAUGCAGCUGGAACAGACCACCACGACGCAACGCCAGAAGGCUUACGCCCACAAGACUCUCUGUAUAAAUAAUAUCGAAGGGUGAGCAGCAUUCAGCUGUUAAUUAGUAUAAAUGAACUGCUUGUUUAACCACGUGUAUGUGUAUAUAAUUCUACAGGCACAGCCAUUGGGUUGGAACGCAAAUGCAAAUAUCAUAUUAAUUAAGCAUAAUUAGAUUUCCGUAAAUAAUGAAAUUAUUUUGUUUAUAUUAACAAAAAAUUAACUUUAAAAUUAACAUAAA
rnacentral:lncRNA from 1 species